UGUCCACAGGGGCAGGCACCACUCAAAACAGACACUACCACUGAUCUUGCCCAUCUGAUGUUACCAUGUUCGUUGUAAAGGAAGAGACUGGCAUUUUGGACAACUGGCAUCAGAGAUUGGCUGACAUGGAGAACCCACUCUGUGUGUGCUGAGGGCAGGACACUCACCAGUGCAGAGGCAGAAGUGGGUGCCUGUCCUCGAGGGUUAACCCGCUUUGCAUCCCCCCACAGCCCCUCCACCUUCUAAAAGCUCAAGAGAUGAUCAGACUGAAACACCCGCCCAUCUUGCUGUUCUGCCUAGGCUGGAAGACCUGGCCCAGGUCAUGGAGGCCCCUGCUCCACUUGCCAAUUCGCAACAGUCUUCUGACCAGGGUUGUCGCACCUUGCUGCUGCCACUGGCACUGCUGCCAUUCUCAUCCUCUUGGGGGCCUUCAUUGGUGCCACAUUCUUUGUAGCCACCUGGGCUGUCAGCCAUGAGGGAAGGACCCUCGUUUUAGUCUUGGAUUGUAAGGUUUCCAUCUCUGCACCUUCUCACAAAGAAGAGUCAGGGCCCAAGCUUAAUGACCUGUUUUUUAAUUCAGGAAGGUAAAUCUCGUUCUCUCGUCACACCCGGAAUUACAGGUCCAUUUGUCCUCAGUGGGAGUUGAUCUUUGAUUCCUACAAAGAACAAUAAAGUCCAAUGAAUUCCAAUACCUCCAGUCAUCAGGCACAGUUACUGGUCAGUGCAGGGCAGGCCAGAAGUGACCCAAGGCCCAAGAGACUCAGACGGCCAUUCACAGACAUCAGGCAGGUGUGAUUGUGGGCAGGAGAGAGCCCUCUGACCUCCCCAAAGCCACAGGCAGCCAAAGCCAACCAGAGAUACCUCCUGCAGCCUCUGUGCUGACUGAGACAGCACAGGAGGAAAGGAAGGAGGCGGAGGCCCCUAAUGUUCCUUCUCAUUACCACCCCAAAUGCCACUGUCCUCGGGGUGCCCAGCCCAUUCAAUCCCUAAAACACCUCUUAAUGGCCUCUCCCUCAUCUGGCCAACUCGAUUUCUCCACUCUUCUAUUGGUGGCUCAGUUACAUGAAACUGAGGGCAUUUUAUUAUUUCACAAUAAAGUCUCACUGGCCAACACGCCGCCCUUAA
rnacentral:antisense_RNA from 1 species